UACGAAGGUGGCUAGCGUUGCUCGGAAUCACUGGGCGUAAAGCGCACGUAGGCGGAUUGCUAAGUCAGGGGUGAAAUCCUGGAGCUCAACUCCAGAACUGCCUUUGAUACUGGCGAUCUCGAGUCCGGGAGAGGUGAGUGGAACUGCGAGUGUAGAGGUGAAAUUCGUAGAUAUUCGCAAGAACACCAGUGGCGAAGGCGACUUACUGGUCCAUGACUGACGCUGAGGCUCGAAAGCGUGGGGAGCAAACAGG
rnacentral:rRNA from 1 species